UUGACCCUGGGGUGUACGUCAGUGAAUUAACGUCCCCGAGCCGAUAAGCAAAUACCCAGGAUCAGCUUUUUAUUAGCUAUUGAGCAUGCUCAGCCCGUACUGAGAAGCCUGCGGUUAAUGUUGCUGAUCCACCUUGAACGUCUGGUUCAAGGGCCACAAUUCGCAACGGCACCUUGGGGCAUAC
rfam:Photobacterium sp. 13-12 scaffold16, whole genome shotgun sequence.